AUGAACGCUGGCGGCGUGCCUAAUACAUGCAAGUCGAGCGAACAGAUGAGGAGCUUGCUCCUCUGACGUUAGCGGCGGACGGGUGAGUAACACGUGGAUAACCUACCUAUAAGACUGGGAUAACUUCGGGAAACCGGAGCUAAUACCGGAUAAUAUAUUGAACCGCAUGGUUCAAUAGUGAAAGACGGUUUUGCUGUCACUUAUAGAUGGUUCCGCGCCGCAUUAGCUAGUUGGUAAGGUAACGGCUUACCAAGGCAACGAUGCGUAGCCGACCUGAGAGGGUGAUCGGCCACACUGGAACUGAGACACGGUCCAGACUCCUACGGGAGGCAGCAGUAGGGAAUCUUCCGCAAUGGGCGAAAGCCUGACGGAGCAACGCCGCGUGAGUGAUGAAGGUCUUCGGAUCGUAAAACUCUGUUAUUAGGGAAGAACAAAUGUGUAAGUAACUAUGCACGUCUUGACGGUACCUAAUCAGAAAGCCACGGCUAACUACGUG
rnacentral:rRNA from 1 species